UUCUUAACGUGAACAGCCUAUACUGGUCUAUGCGUCAAUGAUAUGACUUAAGUGACAUAUGUUAUACAUACACGGAGUUGAAGAAAAGGGUAAAGAAGAGGAGACAUCAAACUCCAAAUAAGAAUUUGAUUUGACAACGUAAUUAAAGAUUGCAUAAGUAUGACUACACAGUAAAAAGAGCAAAGUAAAUAACUUGAAGUCAUCAAUAACCUACCCUAAUGUCAGUGUAUUUUCUACUCACUAACUAAAACCAGUAAUAGUAAAUGAAGCUCAUUCAGCCACAGUAGAAUAUACUGUGAUUCAGCAUUAGACAAGGAUUCCAGUAAAACUCUUUUUGGCUUAUAAGGAUAUCCCAUGUUUGACAAUUGGCUACUACCAUUGGGUUUUUUGGGAAAUAUAAAAUACUGUACAAGGUGAAAUGGGCAUCAAAGGUCUUACAACAUUUGUUAGGAACAAGUCAGAAUUUUGUAUGGAAAGAUUUGAAUUACAUGACACAGAUAUUGUAAUUGAUGGAGAUGCUGUGCUUUGUCAACUUUACUUGAGACAUACAUUCCACAAGAAUGCUUGUUUUGGAGGCGAUUAUGACAAGUUUGGAAACACAAUCUACAAGUUUUUUCUAAUGCUUUCUGAAUGCAAAGUGACACCCUAUGUAAUACUUGAUGGAGGCUACGAAAGUCGUAAAAUGGAUACAAUUCUAGAACGUUUCAAAAGCAGGCUAGAAAAAGUGACAGUACUGAAUCCUAGAACUCAAAAUAAAAAUACGUCUACACCAUUAUUCAUAAGAGAAACGUUCGAGGACAUUGCUGUAAAACUCAAUAUUAAAAUGGUGAGAUGUGAUUUUGAAGGUGAUAGAGAGACUGCAAGUAUCGCAAAAGUACUAAAUUGUCCAGUAAUGAGUAAUGAUUCAGAUUUUUUUAUAUUCAAUGUACCGUAUAUUCCAUUUCUGAAUUUGAAGAUGAGUGUUAUAAGGUCUACAAAAUUAGACCAGAAAACUAACAAGGAAAUAUCUUAUAGGUAUAUUCCAUGUGAGAUUUAUAAGAUUGAUAAAUUUAUUGCUUGUGUAGGAGGAAUGAAGAAAGAAAAUCUUCCUCUUUUAUCUGCAGCAGUGGGAAAUGAUUUUAUGAAGGGGGUGAGUUUAUCAAAAUUGAAUUUGUGUAAAGGAAAUGAAAAUAAUAUUAAUAUGAUUGAAAGAAUAGAAAUUCUUAUAACUUGGUUGACAAUGGAAACUAAAGAAAGUGCUAUCGAGAAAAUCAUAAACUCUUUUGAUGAUUCAGAAAAGCAGUCUGUGUCCAGAGAAAUAGAAAAUGCUAUUAAUGGUUAUACAUUUGUUAAUAGUAAAUAUUUGAAAUAUUUACAGGAUAACCCAAUAGAUCCAGAAGAUAUCGAUAAAUUUGAAGAUCAGCUAGACUCGACAUAUAAUACUUAUGAAAAGUUGACUUCUAGUUUUCCUGCUCCAUUCAUUGAGAAUUUCAGAAAAUCAUUGUACCCUACCAGAUUUUUGGAUAUUCUUACCCAGAAUAAGUAUUACAAUUUCAAGCCACAAGUUGAACUGGACUGUUUGGGACAUAGUCAUACUCCAAGUAUUGAAAUCAUGUCAGCAGUUCAAAAAGUUCUAACUAGCUCGCAAGAGAAUUUAGUAUGCCUAGUAAGAAUUGGCCAAAAUGUUGGUGAACAGGUGCUGCCAGUUUGUAAGCAUGAUUUACCUAGCUUUAGAGAAUUGCAAAAGAUGGAUAAAGACGCCAGAAAACAAAUAAUUUUGAGGGUAAUUAAUAUUGACAACAGUUUUAUUACGAAUACCCUUACGUCGUUUCCAGAAUCCUGGCAUUUAUUUAUCCUGACUCUCAAAUAUAUGAUUAAUAAGUCAAUAAUAUCAUGGCCUCUAGUUUAUACUUUGAUAAUAUGUAAGAUAGUCAUCAGUCAUUUGGACCCAAAAAUAGGAUUCCAUCGCACCGUUCAAACAUUUAACCGACAAUACCUCUACCGAAUCCGUGAAAUGUGGGGUCAGAAAAGGACUCUGCCAAGUACAUACUGGAAUGUUAAAGAUUUCCUGAAUGCCAUUACUUUUGAAGAUGCUCUGCUAGUUAUGAGCCAGGUUAUGCCUUAUUUCGAAAUGAAUAAUCAAUUACUUAGAGAUUACAGAUCAUUUGAUAGGGCUUUAAUGCAUACAACAUCACAAUUCCAAAGUGUUUUAUUACAUGUUAAAUCUCUGAAUCAAUUAUUUAAUAUGCCUUUUGCAGACUUCCUCAUAUCUGAUUGUUUCAAUGGUACUUUUGUUUACAACCUCACAGAAGAUUUGACAAGACGACCUGAUGUUGAUAAUUUCUUGAACUACUGCUUCCGAAAAUCUCCUUUAAUUAUGCAUAUUUUUGAACUCAUUGUGAGUUCUGUAAAAGGAGAAUCAAGAAUACCACUUGGAGAAAAAAGAAGAAGAAUCGAUGUUUGUCAGUCUUCUCAUAUGAAUGUAGUUUAUAAUUAGGUUUUAUGGUUUUUUCAGCUCCUGGUGUCACAAUUUUAGCAACUGAAUUCCAACGGUAUUCUUAGUUAUGCCCUAUAUUUUUCUGUCAUAAUUAUUGCUCGUUAAAAAUUGGUUUUUAUUGAUCAGAUUUUCAAUACUCUCUAAACAUUUCAUCAUCGAAAAUAUGAUUUUGUGGGUUCUAUGUUAGUCUAUAUUAUUUAUGAAUGCUAUUAAUAUUCAUUUGACAGUGAUUUCAAAAUUUGGAAAAAACUUAUUAGAAUCAAUUAUAUUUGUUUUUAAUUAUUUCUCAUAUACUUCGAAAUUUGUCCAGAAGGUGGAAUUUAGUUUUUUUAU
rnacentral:misc_RNA from 1 species